rnacentral:rRNA from 1 species
GACGAACGCUGGCGGCGUGCUUAACACAUGCAAGUCGAACGCUGAAGCUCAGCUUUUGUUGGGUGGAUGAGUGGCGAACGGGUGAGUAACACGUGAGUAACCUGCCUCCUUCUUUGGGAUAACGCCCGGAAACGGGUGCUAAUACUGGAUAUUCACUGGUCUUCGCAUGGGGGUUGGUGGAAAGGGUUUUUCUGGUGGGGGAUGGGCUCGCGGCCUAUCAGCUUGUUGGUGGGGUGAUGGCCUACCAAGGCUUUGACGGGUAGCCGGCCUGAGAGGGUGACCGGGCACAUUGGGACUGAGAUACGGCCCAGACUCCUACGGGAGGCAGCAGUGGGGAAUAUUGCACAAUGGGCGCAAGCCUGAUGCAGCGACGCCGCGUGAGGGGUGGAGGCCUUCGGGUUGUGAACCUCUUUCGCUCAUGGUCAAGCCGCAACAAUGGUUGUGGUGAGGGUAGUGGGUAAAGAAGCGCCGGCUAACUACGUG